AUUGAACGCUGGCGGCAGGCCUAACACAUGCAAGUCGAACGGUAACACGAAGCGGCUUGCUGCUUCGCUGACGAGUGUCGGGCGGGUGAGUGAUGUCUGGGAAACUGCCUGAUUUAGGGGGGGAACUACUGGAAACGGUAGCUAAUACCGCAUAACGUCGCAAGACCAAAGAGGGGGACCUUAUGGCCCCUUGCCAUCGUAUGUGCCCAGAUGGGAUUAGCUAGUAGGUGGGGUAACGGCCCACCUAGGCGACGAUCCCUAGCUGGUCUGAGAGGAUGACCAGCCACACUGGAACUGAGACACGGUCCAGACUCCUACGGGAGGCAGCAGUGGGGAAUAUUGGACAAUGGGCGCAAGCCUGAUGCAGCCAUGCCGCGUGUAUGAAGAAGGCCUUCGGGUUGUAAAGUACUUUCAGCGGGGAGGAAGGGAGUAAAGUUAAUACCUUUGCUCAUUGACGUUACCCGAAGAAGAAGCACCGGCUAACUCCGUG
rnacentral:rRNA from 1 species